rnacentral:rRNA from 1 species
UGAGGAACAUGACCUUCGGCGGGGGAUAGCCGGCCCAACGGCCGGGUAAUACCGCGUACGACCACAUGGGGACAUCCCUGAGUGGUGAAUGCAGCAAUGCGCCGAUGGAGUGCCUCGCGGCCUAUCAGCUAGUUGGUGAGGUAACGGCUCACCAAGGCGACGACGGGUAGCUGGUCUGAGAGGAUGGCCAGCCACAGUUGGGACUGAGACACGGCCCAGAUCCGUACGGGG